rnacentral:pre_miRNA from 10 species
CUGGUCCAAGUUCUGUGAUACACUCGGACUGUGAAUCUAUGCUAGUCAGUGCAUAACAGAACUUUGGCCCG